GCCCCGCACCCACCGGCGGCGCCACGGAGACGCAGAGUUCUCCAGAUCCUCCAAGCGCCGUCGGCGCCACCACUCCAGACACUGUUCACGAGGCCUCAAAGCGUGGAGGCGGUGGCCCGGGGCCGACUCUCGGGUGACCGCCAAUUUGGUCCCAAGACACUUCAGGAUCUCGCAACGGAUGGAGGACAGCGCGGUUCCAAGAGAGGGCGCCAAAGGCGACGCGCUGGCGGCCAGCUCCAAGCCAACCAGGCCCAUUGCGUCCGUCUGCAGGAACCUGUCCCUUCACCCUGCUUUGGACACUGAGCUUCGGAGGAUCUGGCUGCGAGCUGAUUCAACGCCAGGGCGCCGCCUAGAGGUCGGUCGCGUCCUCGGUCUCGCUCACCGACCACAGAGCUGCUUGUCCAAGCCACAGUGUCAGACUUAAACAAAACAAAACAAAAUUCCUGCUUGGAUCAGAGACUUGGCUUCUGGGACCGUUGACUUAUCAGAAACUUGCCUCCUCUCUGCUUCAUAACGAACCCCAGGAAGAGAGAGGGACCAGGGAUCUCAAAGAAAUAUUUGUCCUUGUGGCACCGACUAGGUGGAAGAAAAGUCUCAACAUGACAAGAGGGGAUAUAAACUGUUUGAAGUUCAUCAGCACGGUGAAGUUUUAUUGUAUUUCCGGUCCCUAAAAGAGAAGCCGGCAGCCAGGCAGACUCCCUCCUUAUCUCCGAGUUUCCACGCCAGGGACACACACGUGGCCAAGCGGACACUUGCCUUCGGGAGCAGGGAGGGAGAGAGCCCGCUCCGAUCGACUCUCCCUCACCGGCUCAGUUCUACUUGGCUCCACUCUCCUGUCUACUCCCCUGUCUCAAGGCUGGGGUUGCCUUAGAGUUGGAUAUCUGAGAGCUGCCUGGGAGUCUGGGUAACCCUGGAGCCCAGGGCCUGGCCAGAUGGGCACAAGCCAGGAGCCCAAAGGUUCUUCCUCUGAUCCUUUCUCUAAACUAAACCAGUGAAGAAUCUGCAGCAAAGCCCGGGAGAGGAAUGGGAACCAGGAGGGCAGCGGGCAGAGCCCAGCGCCUAUACAGCUUGGGUCUUAAAAACAGCCUUGCUCCAUCACGUUUCCAUAAAUAAAAGAGCCCCGGCCCA
rnacentral:lncRNA from 1 species